GAGGGGUAUAGGUUUUCGGAUCUAGAGACCGGCGCACGGGUGCGUAACGCGUAUGCAAUCUACCUUUUACAGAGGGAUAGCCCAGAGAAAUUUGGAUUAAUACCUCAUAGUAUUAUUGAAUGGCAUCAUUUAAUAAUUAAAGUCACAACGGUAAAAGAUGAGCAUGCGUCCCAUUAGCUUGUUGGUAAGGUAACGGCUUACCAAGGCAACGAUGGGUAGGGGUCCUGAGAGGGAGAUCCCCCACACUGGUACUGAGACACGGACCAGACUCCUACGGGAGGCAGCAGUGAGGAAUAUUGGUCAAUGGGCGCAAGCCUGAACCAGCCAUGCCGCGUGCAGGAUGAAGCAUCUAUGGUGUGUAAACUGCUUUUGUACUAGAAGAAACACUCCUUCGUGAAGGAGCUUGACGGUAUCGUAAGAAUAAGGACCGGCUAACUCCGUGCCAGCAGCCGCGGUAAUACGGAGGGUCCAAGCGUUAUCCGGAAUCAUUGGGUUUAAAGGGUCCGUAGGCGGUUUUGUAAGUCAGUGGUGAAAGCCCAUCGCUCAAUGGUGGAACGGCCAUUGAUACUGCAAGACUUGAAUUAUUAGGAAGUAACUAGAAUAUGUAGUGUAGCGGUGAAAUGCUUAGAGAUUACAUGGAAUACCAAUUGCGAAGGCAGGUUACUACUAAUGGAUUGACGCUGAUGGACGAAAGCGUGGGUAGCGAACAGGAUUAGAUACCCUGGUAGUCCACGCCGU
rnacentral:rRNA from 1 species